rnacentral:rRNA from 1 species
AUGGAGCAUGCUUCACAUAAGGGAAUAAGAAGUACUGAAAGUAUGAGAUUGCUUGCUGGUACAUCAUCCAAUUUAUGUUCAACGGAAGGUGUGGAACUUGACCAUAUUAGUACAGGCGAACAAUGCUAUGAUCGGAAGGAUCCUGACCAAUCCAAAUGUGACCCAAUUUCUGAUUGGCAUCACAGCCAUGCAUUUCGUGACCUACUUCUUCUUGAGAACCAACUACCAUUUUCCAUUGUGAAGAGAAUAUAUGGGUUACUUGUGGGAGAAGAUGCUCCAAAUCUACUUACUGAGAAGGUCUGUAAAUAUUUAGAACUCAAUAUUAAGAAGUACACAACAGUUGCUCGUAAAUUUGAUGGGCAAAAAGACUUCCACCACUUGCUCCAGUUGUGUCAUAUGUACUUCCGACCUCAACAAAGGAUUCAACCAGAGCAACAUUUUCAAAUUAGGAACAGAUGGUUGCAUCCCUCUCACCACUUUGUGGCGCACAUAUCUCAAAAGAAGUUAUUUCGAAGACUUUUCUACCAAUCCACAGACAUCUCAUGUAAGUUCUUGUCAGACACUGAAUCGGUGGCAACGAGCAGAACAAUAUCAUGA